AUUGAACGCUGGCGGCAGGCCUAACACAUGCAAGUCGAGCGAGCGGCGGACGGUGGAGUAAUGUCUGGGAAACUGCCUGAUGGAGGGGGAUAACUACUGGAAACGGUAGCGACUACCGCAUACCAUCAGAUGUGCCGCGAUGGGAUUAACAAUUAGGUGGGGUACCGGCUCACCUCGGCGACGAUCCCUAGCUGGUCUGAGAGGAUGACCAGCCACACGGGAACUGAGCCACGGUCCAGACUCCGACGUGAGGCAGCAGUGGGGAAUAUGGCACAGUGGGCGAAAGCCUGAUGCAGCCAUGCCGCGUGUGUGAAUAAGGCCGUCGGGUUGGAAAGCACUUUCAGCGGGUAGGCGUUACCCGCAGAAGAAGCACCGGCUAACUCCGUGCCAGCAGCCGCGGUAAUUC
rnacentral:rRNA from 1 species